ACCCACUCACUUGGUGGGGGCACCGGCUCUGGAAUGGGCACCUUGCUCAUCAGCAAGAUCCGUGAAGAGUAUCCUGACCGCAUCAUGAACACCUUCAGUGUGGUCCCCUCACCCAAAGUAUCUGACACUGUGGUUGAGCCCUACAAUGCCACCCUCUCUGUCCACCAGUUGGUAGAGAACACUGACGAGACAUAUUGCAUCAAUAAUGAGGCCCUCUAUGAUAUCUGCUUCCGCACCCUCAAGCUGACCACACCAACCUACAGAGACCUGAACCAUCUUGUCUCAGCCACUAUGAGCGGUGUUACCACCUGUCUCCACUUCCCUGGUCAGCUUAAUGCCGACCUCCGCAAACUAGCAGUCAACAUGGUGCCCUUCCCACGUCUCCACUUCUUCAUGCCUGGCUUUGCCCCACUAACCAGCUGUGGGAGCCAGCAGUACCAGGCCCUCACUGUGCCUGAGCUCACCCAACAGGUCUUCGAUGCCAAGAACAUGAUGGCUGCCUGUGAUCCCCACCAUGGCCAGUACCUCACUGUGGCUGCCGUCUUCCGGGGCGGAUGUCCAUGAAGGAGGUGGAUGAGCAGAUGCUCAACGUACAGAAUAAGAAUAGCAGCUACUUCGUGGAAUGGAUCCCCAACAACGUCAAGACAGCUGUCUGUGACAUCCCACCCCGUGACCUCAAGAUGGCAGUCACUUUCAUUGGUAACAGCACUGCCAUCCAGGAGCUCUUCAAGCGCAUCUCAGAGCAGUUCACAGCCAUGUUCCGUCGGAAGGUCUUCCUCCACUGGUACACAGGUGAGGGUAUGGACGAGAUGGAGUUCACCGAGGCUGAGAGCAACAUGAACGACCUCGUCUCUGAGUACCAGCAGUACCAGGAUGCCACCGCAGAAGAGGAGGAGGAUUUCGGUGAGGAGGCCGAAGAGGCCUAAGACAGAGGCCAUCACCUCAGGCUUCUCAGCUCCCUUAACCUUCUUCCUCAGCUGCCCCUUUCCUCUCCCUCAGAAUUUGCAUUUUAUGCCUCUGUC